CCUACGGGAGGCAGCAGUGGGGGAUAUUGCACAAUGGGCGGAACCCUGAUGCAGCGACGUCGCGUGGGUGAAGAAGCGCCUCGGCGCUUAAAGCCCUGUUAGCCGGGAAGAAAAUGACGGUACCUGAAGAAGAAGCCCCGGCUAACUACGGGGCAGCAGCCGCGGUAAUCCGGAGGGGGCAAGCGUUAUCCGGAUUUACUGGGUGUAAAGGGGGAGUAGUCGGGGUUGCAAGCCAGGAGUGAAAGCGCGGGGCCCAACCCCGGGACUGCUCUUGGAACUGCGUGGCUUGAGUGCAGGAGGGGCAGGCGGAAUGCCUGGUGUAGCGGUGAAAUGCGUAGAUAUCACGAGGAACACCGAUGGCGAAGGCAGCCUACUGGACUGCAACUGACGUUGAGGCCCGAAAGCGUGGGGAGCAAACAGGAUUAGAUACCCGUGUAGUC
rnacentral:rRNA from 1 species